UGUAGCCUUACAGCAGUCUUCUGUUGCCGUUUUUUUUUUUGAGCUGGGGGCCUCGACACUGUGAGUUUAAUUAGUGUUUGUCUGUGUUUUAGUGGUUCAUGUACACCACAGAUCUCCUCUCUUCAUAUUCAGUGUCAAAGGUCAUAAUGACUGUAAACAAAGAGAUUCCAGCUUUGGCUGCUGAGGCCUUGCAGUGGCCUUAGGAAAGGUCUUUUAUUUUGUUUCAAAACAAAAAGGUUGUUUAUCUUCACUCACAGUUGUGAAAAUAGACAUUUGUAACUUGACAUUGACACAGAUCUGAGAGGCUCCUCUGUUGAAACUCUAAAAAAAAACAUUUCUGGUGAUUUCUAUGAUUAGAAACCUGAACUUUUUUUUCUUUUCCUAGAAAUAACAUCCCAACAACCUAAAUGUGUCUGGAUGAACCCAGAAUGGUAAUUGACCAUCACCACAGACUAACAUUGAAAAUAUGAGGAUGUCAACAUCCCCUCCGCCUGAAUCUGAAUGUUCUCAUGUCUGUUCUCCUUACUGUUGCUAAUCUGGGAACGUGAACAUGGAAACUCACGAGGAACAUGGAGCGUGCAUCUCAGUAUCGCCUUACAUGUAAACACAGUCGCACCGUUGGCAGGAGAGAAUAAUCAGCUUGUUGUAAAUGUGGUUGUUACUAUGUGAAAAGGACAUUUAUUGAGAACCGGAGGCGACACGAGCCCUCACCUCUCUCGAGUGACCCGCUUCAGUACUUUAAUGCCCCGCAGCAGGCAUGUCCUCCCCAGCCACAUCUGGCGGUAGGUGCUGAGCUCAUCGCUCGCGAGCAGAGGCUGGAGCUGGACAACGCUGAACGUCCCGCAGCUGUCCUGGACGAGCACGCACAGCCUGGCAGAGAGAAGCCUUGCAGCCUCCUCCUUGUGCUGCUAUUUGUGCGUUUGGCUGGUUCGACAGGCUGCUGUUGACAGACGAGACCUUGGGCCCACAAAGCUGCAAGGCAGUGAACUGCUGAUGGUGAACUCUGCUGCUCCCUGCGAGUUAUUGGCUUAACCCACUGCAGACUGGAGUCUCUGAGCAAGUCAAGCCCAGGCACAACCCUGAACAAGCCCUGAGAGUAAACAGCGGAGUUCAUAUUUCCUUGGUUAGACGAGCAAAGGACAAGGAAGGAGCGGGAGGCCUGUCCAGCAGUGCAUGUGCAUGCAUGCACACGUCCCACACACUGGGAAAGUUAUGAGGUUGUUUUCAACCACCUGAUCGGGCCGACGAAUGUUUUCUGUUACUAAACGUGGGGUCCUCUCUGUUUGUCCUGAGAGACCUGGCAAUAGAUGACUAAAUAAAAGUCCUGACGUGACUUUUGGUAGUGCAAGACAACAUUUUGACCAAGAGUUCACAUGUCAUAUCGGACACUUUUGUUAAAAAUUAACAGGCUAUAUUUGACACUUUAACCCCCAAUUAAAAAAAUAAUGCUCUCAAGUAGAUUGAUGAUCUCUAUAAGAACGUUGAUUUUUGCAUUUUGAACGAGACAAAAUGCUUUCGGCAAACUGAAAACACCAAAUGAAAAGACUUAACCCCUAACUGAUGGAUUGUACAGCACUGGGUGAAGAGGGUUGUUGGUAAAUGGCUUCUGGAGCAGACUUGUCUGUAUUUAUUGUUUGUUAUUCACAUUUCUUUAAAUGAACCACGAAUUUUCCAAAUACUAAUUUGCCAGAUUUUGCUUGAAAAACGGUGCCAACGUUCAACCAAAGUUUUACCAAUCUUUCAGCAUUAGCUGACAAAUCCCACUUCUAUUUGAGUAAAUUGCCAUAAUCCUACUGUGUUUUAAAAGAAUAAAUAAAUAAACAAUUUCUGAUGAUAAA